GACGAACGCUGGCGGCGUGCUUAACACAUGCAAGUCGAACGGAAAGGCCCUGCUUUUGUGGGGUGCUCGAGUGGCGAACGGGUGAGUAACACGUGAGUAACCUGCCCUUGACUUUGGGAUAACUUCAGGAAACUGGGGCUAAUACCGGAUAGGAGCUCCUGCUGCAUGGUGGGGGUUGGAAAGUUUCGGCGGUUGGGGAUGGACUCGCGGCUUAUCAGCUUGUUGGUGGGGUAGUGGCUUACCAAGGCUUUGACGGGUAGCCGGCCUGAGAGGGUGACCGGCCACAUUGGGACUGAGAGACGGCCCAGACUGCUACGGGAGGCAGCAGGGGGGAAUAUUGCACAAUGGGCGGAAGCCUGAUGCAGCAACGCCGCGUGCGGGAUGACGGCCUUCGGGGUGUAAACCGCUUUCGCCUGUGACGAAGCGUGAGUGACGGUAAUGGGUAAAGAAGCACCGGCUAACUACGUG
rnacentral:rRNA from 1 species